GUUAAUGUUGCCGCCGAUGGUUCCGACCCCCGAGGUCGGUGAAAAGGGAACAGGGUGAGGCCUCGCAAGGGCCGAUUCCCUGGCUGCCCCCGCAACUGUAAGCGGCGCACGAUGCCCAACAUGCCACUGGCCAGCCGGCCGGGAAGGCGGGCGAAGUACCAAGCCGCGAGCCAGGAGACCUGCCAUCGUCACCGGGCCCAG
rnacentral:ncRNA from 2 species